rnacentral:lncRNA from 13 species
UAAAUUUCUGAAGUACUGAGAUCAAAUAUUAGCAGAUUCACUCCGAAAGUCAUGUUUUCUCUCUAGAUUUCAACCAGUCAGCUAUUGAAGAGAUGGCAGGCAAUGAAUCUGGCUCCUUCUAUGGGAAGAAAACAGAAACACGUGCUGCUUGUCCGACUGAGGCAGGGGAAACAAGCCCAGCAGCUGCAAUGAUGCUGUCCCAUAGAGGACACUCAGUAAUGCAGUGUCUGCAUCGAUGACUACAGAACCCAGAAACCUGCUUGCCUGUCCCCUGUAUUGGUGAGUUCCAUUCCUAUGGGUGGUUUAGGGCAUUAAAGAACUUUGACUAAUUCCUCUAGUU